rnacentral:rRNA from 1 species
AGUGAACGCUGGCGGUAGGCCUAACACAUGCCAGUCGAACGGCAGCACAGUAAGAGCUUGCUCUUACGGGUGGCGAGUGGCGGACGGGUGAGGAAUACAUCGGAAUCUACUUUUUCGUGGGGGUUCACGUAGCGAAACUUACUCUAAUACCGCAGACGCUCUACGGUUGAAAGCAUGGGAUCUUCGCACCUGUCGCGAAUGAAUGAGCCGCUGUCGGAUUAGAUAGUUGGCGGGGUAAUGGCCCACCAAGGCGAGGAUCCGUAGCUGGUCUGAGAGAAUGAUAGGCGACAUGGGAACGUAGACGCCGUCCAGAGUCCUGCGGGAGGCCGCAGUGGCGAAUAGUGGACAAUAGGCGGAAGUCUGAUCCAGCGAUAGCGCGUGGGUGAAGGAGACCUUCGGGGCGUAAAGCCGUUUUGCGGGGAAAGAAAAGCAGCAGGUUAAUACGCCGCUGUUCUGACGGUAACCAAUGAAGAAGCACCGGCUAACUUCGUG